UGCGCAGGCGGCCUGAUAAGUCAGGGGUGAAAUAUGACGGCUCAACCGUCAAACGGCCCCUGAAACUGCCAGGCUUGAGUCCGGGAGAGGAUGGUGGAAUUCCUGGUGUAGCGGUGAAAUGCGUAAAUAUCAGGAGGAACACCGAUGGCGAAGGCAGCCAUCUGGCCCGGUACUGACGCUCAGGCACGAAAGCUAGGGGAGCGAACAGGAUUAGAUACCCUGGUAGUC
rnacentral:rRNA from 1 species